UUUUCAGCUUUAGAUAGAAGUCAGAAACUGUCACAAAAAUUUAAGAAAUUCCAUGGUGAGUCAUAAGUAUCUAAUCCAUGGUGGUUCAAUUUAUGAACACAUAAAAGGACAAUUUUAUGGUUGUCAGCUUUGAGUUGAGGAUAGAUCCCAGACAUCUUAGUUGCCUUUACUUUACUUUUGGAGACAUUUCUCUCAGCCGUAAUGAAGCAAU
ensembl:misc_RNA